AUUUUUGCACAUUUGUAUGACUGUAUUGCAUUUUCACUUAAAGCUGCUGCUGUGCUCUCAUAGGUGAGGUGAUACAUAAAUAUAAGCUCUCCCUUAAAGACUAUCUUCAAAGAAAAUGCAUUUAUACUCUAACCAGAGCCCUAUCGUCCUGUCAUUACAGCCCCACUCUUUUCAAGGAAGCAAGCUCGUUGUGUGAUAUAGAAGGUGGAGACUGGGAAGCUGGCUCUGCUAAGCCUUGCCUAAUGCAAACUGCUUUAGUAUGCACAUCACAUCAUGCCGGCUAUACUGCAGGGAGCAGGCAGUUAUCGCACAAGCGUGCAUCCUCAGAGCCAGGAUAAACACUCCUUUACUCUCCCUCUAAACUGCUCUUCUGGGAGGGAGAGAAAAUAAAUAGGGAGUGAGAAAGGCAUUUGAAGUAACCUUUUUAAGAAGGAGGCUGCAGCCAAUAGAACCUUUCUUUCUUUCUUUCUUUCUUUUUUUUCUUUUUUUUUCUUUUUUUUUUUUUUUCCCCCACUUCUUACUAGAGAAAUUUGUGGUGUUACCUCAGCAAUUAAGGAGAAGAGCCAGCAUCUAGGGUUCCAGACUGUGAGGGGGAGUAGCAACUUGUACCAGUGUCAACCAGAUUGGUACAAAUCUCUUGGAGAAGACAGACAUCAUUCAAGAGAAGGAGUAAAGGAGGCACAGUCCAGAACAAUAUACUUGGUGGUGUUAUGCUCAGCAGAAGCCUCAGCAGAAAGCUUUCCUCCCCCUUUUCUGGGAUCUUUGUCACACACCAAAGAAGGAGCUCCAUAGAUGAGCAAGACAGUGAUGGAAGGUAAGGGAGGAUGUUUU
rnacentral:lncRNA from 1 species